AAACGACUCUCGACAACGGAUAUCUCGGCUCUCGCAUCGAUGAAGAACGUAGUGAAAUGCGAUACUUGGUGUGAAUUGCAGAAUCCCGUGAACCAUCGAGUCUUUGAACGCAAGUUGCGCCCGAAGCCAUUAGGCCGAGGGCACGUCUGCCUGGGCGUCUCGCAA
rnacentral:rRNA from 6 species